UUGUUCGAUUUAGUUUCGACUCGGACGCAGCAUAGACGGGUUGGGUUGCGCCACCGGGGGCCCCGGCCGGAGGGCCGGGUCGCCCCCGAGGCAACAGCGUCAGUAGACAUGGUGUGGAUAAAGGGAGGCACCCCCCGAGGGGGGGCCGGUCCGGCGCGCGCGCACCGCUGGGGGGCCAGCGGGCGCGGCACUUUAUCGCGUGGUUAAUGAUCCCUCCGCAGGUUCACCUACGGAGA
rnacentral:misc_RNA from 1 species